rnacentral:rRNA from 1 species
AUUGAACGCUGGCGGCAUGCCUUACACAUGCAAGUCGAACGGCAGCACGGACUUCGGUCUGGUGGCGAGUGGCGAACGGGUGAGUAAUGUAUCGGAACGUGCCUAGUAGUGGGGGAUAACUAGUCGAAAGAUUAGCUAAUACCGCAUACGACCUACGGGUGAAAGUGGGGGAUCGCAAGACCUCAUGCUAUUAGAGCGGCAGAUAUCAGAUUAGCUAGUUGGUGGGGUAACGGCCCACCAAGGCAACGAUCUGUAGCUGGUCUGAGAGGACGACCAGCAACACUGGGACUGAGACACGGCCCAGACUCCUACGGGAGGCAGCAGUGGGGAAUUUUGGACAAUGGGGGCAACCCUGAUCCAGCAAUGCCGCGUGUGUGAAGAAGGCCUUCGGGUUGUAAAGCACUUUUGUCAGAGAAGAAAACUGUUGCGCUAAUAUCGCGACGGGAUGACGGUAUCUGAAGAAUAAGGACCGGCUAACUACGUGCCAGCAGCCGCCGUAA